rnacentral:rRNA from 1 species
GAUGAACGCUGGCGGCGUGCCUAAUACAUGCCAGUCGAGCGAACGGACGAGAAGCUUGCUUCUCUGAUGUUAGCGGCGGACGGGUGAGUAACACGUGGAUAACCUACCUAUAAGACUGGGAUAACUUCGGGAAACCGGAGCUAAUACCGGAUAAUAUUUUGAACCGCAUGGUUCAAAAGUGAAAGACGGUCUUGCUGUCACUUAUAGGUGGAUCCGCGCUGCAUUAGCUAGUUGGUAAGGUAACGGCUUACCAAGGCAACGAUGCAUAGCCGACCUGAGAGGGUGAUCGGCCACACUGGAACUGAGACACGGUCCAGACUCCUACGGGAGGCAGCAGUAGGGAAUCUUCCGCAAUGGGCGAAAGCCUGACGGAGCAACGCCGCGUGAGUGAUGAAGGUCUUCGGAUCGUAAAACUCUGUUAUUAGGGAAGAACAUAUGUGUAAGUAACUGUGCACAUCUUGACGGUACCUAAUCAGAAAGCCACGGCUAACUACGUG